rnacentral:lncRNA from 1 species
GUGUAUCCCACGGCACACGUAUCUCCGCACGCGCCCAGGCCGCAUCCGCCUCGAAGAACGCGCGUAUCGCGGCCGCUUAACUGGCACUCCUCGCAAGCAGCAACUGGCUGAUCCGAUUUCCCAGGUAACGCCUCAAUUAGCAUUUAAUAGCCUUCUGGUGUUCCCCAGGCGACGCGUCGAGAGGAGGAGAAAUACGAUCGCAGCUGGCCACGGAGAAACCCCGUCGAGCGGCAAGU